GCAGGCUGUGAUGGUCCAAGAGCCCCUCCUCUCUCAAGCCAGAAUUCCCAGCCUCUCUAAUGAACAGCUCUCCCUCCCUCUCCCACAUGCCUGGCGCUCUGCCUAUUUGCAGCUGAAGGGAAGAAUUAGGCAGCUGCUCCUUCUUCCAGACUCCCAGAUCCUCAUCUUAUCUUCUGUGGCAGCAAACACUCCAGCCUCUGUGAACAAAACCUAUCCUUUACAGUCGUGGAUUGUACUGAUUCAUUCGCUGAUUACACUGGAGCGUGAAUGCAUUUCCAUAUCUGUGUUACUCUGGCCAAUUAUAUGCAUUUGAAGACUUUAUUGCAAAGAGAUUUGCUUUGUUUAAAGGAUUAAGACUCAGGUGCUAUCUGUGUGAAGCCACAGACAAGAAAGAAGAGAGAGGAAAAAGGAAGCAGAAAUGACAGUGGUGCUAGUAUGCUGACACAAAAGUGCCAGACCACAUUUCUGUGAAUUUUUGACACUCAGAGGAGAAAUGAUUAAGGCAAUGGCACCCCACUCCAGUACUCUUGCCUGGAGAAUCCCAUGGACGGAGGAGCCUGGUGGGCUGCCGUCUAUGGGGUUGCACAGAGUCGAACACGACUGAAGCGGCUUAGCAGCAGCAGCAGCAGCAGACUAGUCAGUUUCUCUACCUACUCUUGAUUCCAUAUUAUAAGCUUAUAUUUUCUGUAAGAUUAUCUACUUCACAUUGAUUUUAUAAUUAAUUAUAUAAAAUUAUAUAAAUAAAGUUUGUGCUAAU
ensembl:lncRNA